rnacentral:lncRNA from 1 species
AAAAUGGCGGGAAAUACUAUAUCAGAGAUUAUAGCACUUGUUUCAUAGUUGUCUAUGUCUUAGGUAAUUGACUUGUGCAAGCCAUAUACCAAAUCCUCCACUCUUCCCACAAAAUCAAUCAAGUACUCAAAAAUCUGUCAUGUACAUUCCUUGACAGAUAUUCUCCUGAAAUAUUCCUGAAAUAUUGAAGUCAUUAUUUGGGAGGGAUGAGCCGGCUAUUGGUUUUGUACAGUGGGAGGAGUUUGAAAGUGAGAUGUCACCUACCCCUUAGCAGUCAGUGAGGAAAUCAAUACAGUGCCACCAUACGCACAUGCCUGACCUUUCAAACACAGGGAGCCAAGUCUAGUACCUGUUGUCCAAAUUCCGGUUAAAGAGUUUUAUAGGCUUUGGUUCACUUGCUCUCUCUCAUCACCACUUCAAAUCUGGUUGAAAUGGGAAUACCCAUUUUAAAAUGGGAAGAGAUAAAAGCUGCCAUGAGUGAGAGCCAGAGUGACUAUGUUUGUUCUGAGUUAUGACUGAUAGAGUUUCGAGGUCACAAAGAGAAUAAAGGUCAUUCACAUUUUUAUUUUAAUGCAUUUUCAUUAGUUCACCAAAUGUUCUUUUGAACAGAGUCUUUAAAGAUCAAAUACGAAAAUUAUUGAAAAUGGAGGAAGGUCUCUUUUCAAGUAUGAUCUCCCAUGUUACAUGGUCCACUGAACUUCAAGCCCAUCCUUGGUCUUCUUAACAAUGAGACAUACCAUCAAAGUAACUCAAAGAGAUGCUAAGAGUUUAAAGGAACCCAAAAUAGUUGAAAGCUAUUUCCUUAUUAUUUAAUAAACCUCUGAUCUUGGGUGAAUCCUAUCUUUGUCACUUUUAACACCAAGGCAAAAUUUGACAUUGAUUUUUAAGCAUAUGCAUACCAUGACACAUAGAUGAAAUGCCAUGAAAGCAAACCUGCUCAGAAAACCUGUCAGCUAAUCUCAGAUAAAUGAGGGUCUAGUCGGAUAAGUUCUAAUGAAUGGUAUAGUCAGCUAAGUUCAGACAACAGAAUACAGUAGGGGAAGAAACAAAACAAAACAGUGUCACAUUGGAGGCCAGAGUUGCUCAAUGCUUUAAUCAGGAUUGUGGUGAGGAUAUUAGAAGCAUAUUAAAUUUUCAAUGACAGCAGUAGUAUUCAAGUACUAGUAAUGAUUGAAUCCCAUCUCCACAGAUUCUUGGGUAUUUAUCUCAGAUGUAUAGAAGUUGGAGGGAUGCGGGGGUGGGGGGCGUCAUUACCUCUACUUAGCAGUAGGCCAGCUACUCAGUAAAAGGGAACUGCAUAUUUUCUGUUUACCAAAGUAUUGAUGCACCAAGGGGGAAUAGCAGAGAAACUUGUGAUUCCUAAAGCAAACUUGAUUGUUCUGGUAUGUAACUUACUUUCCUAUUUGCAAAGUGUACUUCAUAGAUUGGAGCACAUGACUAAUGUUCAAAGAACUGUAUUUAUAUCCUACCUAGGUCAUUACAUUGAGGUAUAAAAUAAAGUUGCUAAGAUAUUCUAGUUAGGUGAAAGCUAUUACCCAUUUUAAACAACUAAUAAAUUCUGAAAAUAACAUUUUUUUACAUGGACUUAAAAUGUAACCCUAGCUGACUUGGGGUUCACUAUAUAGACAAGGGUGUCCUCAAACUCAUAGAGAUCUGUCUGCCUCUAGUUUCUGGAAGAUGUGACUAGAGUGCCACCAUGCCUGGCUGAAAAGAAUGUUUAUUAACCAUAUAUUUGUUUUAGAAGAAAGAGUGUUGCCAGAGAGAAAGAAAUUAACGUUUUAAGAAAAGCUGAUUUUUUUUUAUAGCUCAUCUCAGCAACAUGGUCCUCAAUUCUUAAGUACUGCAUUUCAGUAGGGUCAUUGACAAACACUCUCCAAGGAGGAAUGAUUCAUUUGUGAAAUAUCUAGGGGUCAGAUUGUAAAGGAAACGGUGGGCAAGAACCUGGAAGAUGAUCCAGACAGCUCCGUUCAAGUGUGAAUGGGAAGGAUCAUGGGAAUAAUUGUGUAUGGCUUUAGAAAGGCAGAGCGGUGCCCAGCAGAGGGAGGGAGACAAGAGAGAUUUCCGCCUCAUGUUAGUAAUAGCUGUGUGACGGGUGGAACUGCUCAGAUAUUGGAUUAUGAGUUCUGCUGCUUAGUGAGUCAUACAGUCUUUUAUUCAUUCAGCUGUUUGUUCAGGAAGCAUGGACUGAAUGACUUCUAUAAAGGCCAUAUGGUCCAGAGAGGGACCAAUACUGUCAGAGCUGUCUCCACCAGAUAACAAAGGAAGGACCAUUAAGUAACCACAAAGCACCUGCAAAGCCCAUGCUGCAGGGAACC